CCUACGGGUGGCUGCAGUAGGGAAUAUUGGACAAUGGGCGAAAGCCUGAUCCAGCCAUGCCGCGUGAUAGAUGAAGGCCCUCUGGGUUGUAAAUAUCUUUUAUCUGGGAAGAAACAAUCUUAUUCUUAAGAUCUUGCCGGUACCAGAGGAAUAAGCACCGGCUAACUCCGUGCCAGCAGCCGCGGUAAUCCGGAGGGUGAAAGCGUUAUCCGGAUUCACUGGUGCUAAGGGGGGCUGAUAAGUCAGGGUUGAAAGCUCCGAGCUUAACUUGGAAACUGCCAUUGAUACUGCCAGUCUUGAAUGUCGUAGAGGUAAGCGGAAUGUUGCAUGUAGCGGUGAAAUGCUUAGAUAUGUUACAGAACACCAAUUGCGAAGGCAGCUUACUAUGCGAUGAUUGACGCUGAGGCACGAAAGCGUGGGGAGCAAACAGGAUUAGAUACCCGAGUAGUC
rnacentral:rRNA from 1 species